CAGUCGCCGCGGUAAUACGAAGGGUGCAAGCGUUAAUCGGAAUUACUGGGCGUAAAGCGUGCGUAGGCGGUUUGUUAAGUCUGUUGUGAAAUCCCCGGGCUCAACCUGGGAAUGGCAAUGGAUACUGGCAAGCUAGAGUGUGUCAGAGGAUGGUGGAAUUCCCGGUGUAGCGGUGAAAUGCGUAGAGAUCGGGAGGAACAUCAGUGGCGAAGGCGGCCAUCUGGGACAACACUGACGCUGAGGCACGAAAGCGUGGGGAGCAAACAGGAUUAGAUACCCGGGUAGUCCCUGUCUCUAUACC
rnacentral:rRNA from 1 species